AUCAGUAUCAGCUGCCAUACCCGGCAUCAGUACCAGCUGCCAUACCCGGCAUCAGUACCAGCUGCCAUACCCGGCAUCAGUACCAGCUGCCAUACCCGGCAUCAGUACCAGCUGCCAUACCCGGCAUCAGUACCAGCUGCCAUACCCGGCAUCUGCAUCAGCUGCCAUACCCGGCAUCUGCAUCAGCUGCCAUACCCGGCAUCUGCAUCAGCUGCCAUACCCGGCAUCUGCAUCAGCUGCCAUACCCGGCAUCUGCAUCAGCUGCCAUACCCGGCAUCUGCAUCAGCUGCCAUACC